rnacentral:rRNA from 1 species
GAGUCUUAACCGGGCGUUAAGUUGCAGGGUAUAGACCCGAAACCCGGUGAUCUAGCCAUGGGCAGGUUGAAGGUUGGGUAACACUAACUGGAGGACCGAACCGACUAAUGUUGAAAAAUUAGCGGAUGACCUGUGGCUGGGGGUGAAAGGCCAAUCAAACCGGGAGAUAGCUGGUUCUCCCCGAAAGCUAUUUAGGUAGCGCCUCGUGAAUUCAUCUCCGGGGGUAGAGCACUGUUUCGGCUAGGGGGCCAUCCCGGCUUACCAACCCGAUGCAAACUGCGAAUACCGGAGAAUGUUAUCACGGGAGACACACGGCGGGUGCUAACGUCCGUCGUGAAGAGGGAAACAACCCAGACCGCCAGCUAAGGUCCCAAAGUCAUGGUUAAGUGGGAAACGAUGUGGGAAGGCCCAGACAGCCAGGAUGUUGGCUUAGAAGCAGCCAUCAUUUAAAGAAAGCGUAAUAGCUCACUGGUCGAGUCGGCCUGCGCGGAAGAUGUAACGGGGCUAAACCAUGCACCGAAGCUGCGGCAGCGACACUAUGUGUUGUUGGGUAGGGGAGCGUUCUGUAAGCCUGUGAAGGUGUGUCGUGAGGCAUGCUGGAGGUAUCAGAAGUGCGAAUGCUGACAUAAGUAACGAUAAAGCGGGUGAAAAGCCCGCUCGCCGGAAGACCAAGGGUUCCUGUCCAACGUUAAUCGGGGCAGGGUGAGUCGACCCCUAAGGCGAGGCCGAAAGGCGUAGUCGAUGGGAAACGGGUUAAUAUUCCCGUACUUGGUGUUACUGCGAAGGGGGGACGGAGAAGGCUAUGUUGGCCGGGCGACGGUUGUCCCGGUUUAAGCGUGUAGGUGUGUGUUCCAGGUAAAUCCGGUUCACUUUAACACUGAGGCGUGACGACGAGGCACUACGGUGCUGAAGCAACAAAUGCCCUGCUUCCAGGAAAAGCCUCUAAGCAUCAGGUAACAUCAAAUCGUACCCCAAACCGACACAGGUGGUCAGGUAGAGAAUACCAAGGCGCUUGAGAGAACUCGGGUGAAGGAACUAGGCAAAAUGGUGCCGUAACUUCGGGAGAAGGCACGCUGACACGUAGGUGAAGUGAUUUACUCAUGGAGCUGAAGUCAGUCGAAGAUACCAGCUGGCUGCAACUGUUUAUUAAAAACACAGCACUGUGCAAACACGAAAGUGGACGUAUACGGUGUGACGCCUGCCCGGUGCCGGAAGGUUAAUUGAUGGGGUCAGCGCAAGCGAAGCUCCUGAUCGAAGCCCCGGUAAACGGCGGCCGUAACUAUAACGGUCCUAAGGUAGCGAAAUUCCUUGUCGGGUAAGUUCCGACCUGCACGAAUGGCGUAAUGAUGGCCAGGCUGUCUCCACCCGAGACUCAGUGAAAUUGAACUCGCUGUGAAGAUGCAGUGUACCCGCGGCAAGACGGAAAGACCCCGUGAACCUUUACUAUAGCUUGACACUGAACAUUGAGCCUUGAUGUGUAGGAUAGGUGGGAGGCUUUGAAGUGUGGACGCCAGUCUGCAUGGAGCCGACCUUGAAAUACCACCCUUUAAUGUUUGAUGUUCUAACGUGGACCCGUGAUCCGGGUUGCGGACAGUGUCUGGUGGGUAGUUUGACUGGGGCGGUCUCCUCCUAAAGAGUAACGGAGGAGCACGAAGGUUGGCUAAUCCUGGUCGGACAUCAGGAGGUUAGUGCAAUGGCAUAAGCCAGCUUGACUGCGAGCGUGACGGCGCGAGCAGGUGCGAAAGCAGGUCAUAGUGAUCCGGUGGUUCUGAAUGGAAGGGCCAUCGCUCAACGGAUAAAAGGUACUCCGGGGAUAACAGGCUGAUACCGCCCAAGAGUUCAUAUCGACGGCGGUGUUUGGCACCUCGAUGUCGGCUCAUCACAUCCUGGGGCUGAAGUAGGUCCCAAGGGUAUGGCUGUUCGCCAUUUAAAGUGGUACGCGAGCUGGGUUUAGAACGUCGUGAGACAGUUCGGUCCCUAUCUGCCGUGGGCGCUGGAGAACUGAGGGGGGCUGCUCCUAGUACGAGAGGACCGGAGUGGACGCAUCACUGGUGUUCGGGUUGUCAUGCCAAUGGCACUGCCCGGUAGCUAAAUGCGGAAGAGAUAAGUGCUGAAAGCAUCUAAGCACGAAACUUGCCCCGAGAUGAGUUCUCCCUGAGACUUAAAGUCUCCUGAAGGAACGUUGAAGACGACGACGUUGAUAGGCCGGGUGUGUAAGCGCAGCGAUGCGUUGAGCUAACCGGUACUAAUGAACCGUGAGGCUUAACCUU